rnacentral:rRNA from 1 species
GACGAACGCUGGCGGCGUGCUUAACACAUGCAAGUCGAACGAUGAACCCGGAGCUUGCUCCGGCGGAUUAGUGGCGAACGGGUGAGUAACACAUGAGUAACCUGCCCUUGACUCUGGGAUAACUGCGGGAAACUGUAGCUAAUACCGGAUACGACCCUCGGCGGCAUCGCCAGGGGGUGGAAAGAAUUUCGGUCAAGGAUGGACUCGCGGCCUAUCAGCUAGUUGGUGAGGUAACGGCUCACCAAGGCAACGACGGGUAGCCGGCCUGAGAGGGUGACCGGCCACACUGGGACUGAGACACGGCCCAGACUCCUACGGGAGGCAGCAGUGGGGAAUAUUGCACAAUGGGCGCAAGCCUGAUGCAGCAACGCCGCGUGAGGGAUGACGGCCUUCGGGUUGUAAACCUCCUUUAGUAGGGAAGAAGCGAAAGUGACGGUACCUGCAGAAAAAGCACCGGCUAACUACGUGCCAGCCGCCGCGGUAAAAC